rnacentral:rRNA from 1 species
UACGUAGGGCGCAAGCGUUGUCCGGAAUUAUUGGGCGUAAAGAGCUCGUAGGCGGUUUGUCGCGUCUGCCGUGAAAACCCGAGGCUUAACCUCGUGGCUUGCGGUGGAUACGGGCAGACUAGAGGUAGGUAGGGGAGAAUGGAAUUCCCGGUGUAGCGGUGAAAUGCGCAGAUAUCGGGAGGAACACCAGUGGCGAAGGCGGGUCUCUGGACAGUUCCUGACACUGAGGCACGAAGGCCAGGGGAGCAAACGGG